ensembl:lncRNA
GCGACGGUACACCGCCUCCGCACCACCGUUUAAACAUGAAGUGUGGAUGUUAGAAGAUCCCAAAUAUGGAAAUAGUCAGGACCCAGAUGAACCUGUGCUGGAAUUCAGUGUGGGGUGGUGGGUCUCAGAGGACAAUUGCUACCCCUGUUGAAGUGAACAACGUGUGGAGUGCAACUGGCUUUGUGGCAUAGCUGGCUCUGGCCUUGGACUGUGUGUUUUUACUUUGUACCUAAAUGGGACACUGGACUUUUAACUACUAUUCAUUGUGUUUAUAAAUAAAAUUUUAGAAUUUUAUUGACUGUCAUCUUUUUGCCCACGGUGGAGACGGUUGGUCAGACCUAGAAUCUGUGUGUGUGUCUGUGUGUGUCAUCAGCAGGGUUUUGCAUAAAAGAGUGUGAGCAGGUCAAAAGGUCAAUUCAUUUAUUGUAGUUUUAUGGCAGCACCCUCUAGUGGCCUUGAAGCAAACAGUCUCCUAACUAAGCCAUGGCAUCUCUGGUCUCUCC